CCCCAAGGUGACGCAGCCCUGCCCCAAAACACCUCCUGCGUCUCGGCUGGGUGGGGUGGCACGGUGACAGCCGUGUCCCCAAGGACCCCUCUGCACACCCAGGUCACCUCCACACCGGCACAGCCGUGACAAACCGGGAUGGACAAAGGUGGGGGACAAAUCCCCGCCACCACCACCAUCCCCUUGGGGCCACCCUGAUGUCACCCCCGGGGCCGCCCUGAUGUCACCCGGUGCCUGUGCCGGGGGUGGCCGCGGGAGGACCCUCGGGGACAGCCCGGUGGCCUCACCCCACCCCUGGGGACAGCCCGGCGGCCUGGCCCCAGCCCUGGGGACAGGCAGCUGGCGUGUCCCCGCCCGCAGAGCCACCACGCAACCAGACGGGGCUGUGGGAGCGGGCGGAGCCCGGGGGGGUUCCGGCUCCAAAGGGGGAAAAAUCCCACCGGGAAUGGGGGGCUGGACCCGGAUGGGGGUCCCAGGACAGCUGGAGCAGUGCUGGGGACAACGGGUGCCACGCUGUCACCUCCCUCCGUCGGUGCUGAGCAGCCUGGGGGGGGUCCCGGGGGUCCCCAAACCUUGGCCAAGGGGAGGGGACAGGGAGGGGACGAUCCCUGGGAUUGUUCCCCCAGGCCAAAGCGGGAAAGGUCAGGCGGCGUUGGCGGGGGCAGAUUCCAGCCCCGAGGAAUGCGAGCGCGCCUGGACGCCUCCCAAAAACGCCUGGACGCCUCCCAAAAACGCCUGGACGCCUCCCAAAAAUGCCCGUGUUUGGGACAGGAGUGUCCCAAAUACCGGGAGGACCGGGGAUCCCGGCAUGCACCGCGGCCGGCACGGGGACACACCCACGGGGGACACACGGACAGGGGGACACAUGGACAGGGGGACACAUGGACAGGGGACACAUGGAUAUGGGGAGACACGAAUAGGGGACACAUGGACAGGGGACACAAGGACAGGGGACACACAGAUAUACGGACACAUGGAUAUAGGGACACACGGAUAUGGGGACACACGGAUAUGGGGACAAACAGAUAGGGGACACAUGGAUAGGGGACACACGGAUAGGGGGACACACGGAUAUGGGGACACACAGCCAUGGGGACACACGGCCAUGGGGACACACGACCACGGGGACACAUGGCCAUGGGGACACACGGCCACGGGGACACACGGCCAUGGGGACACACGGACAUGGGGACACACGGACAUGGAGACACACGGCCAUGGGGACACACGGCCAUGGGGACACAUGGACACGGGGACACACGGACACGGGGACACACGGACACGGGGACACACAGUCAUGGGGACACACGGACACGGGGACACACGGCCAUGGGGACACAUGGACACGGGGACACACGGAUAUGGGGACACACGGCCAUGGGGACACACGGCCCUGCUCCCACCCCAGCCUGUACCGAGACAUCCCCGCAUCCUUCCCCCGAUGUCACCCCCGUGUCCCACCCCG
rnacentral:lncRNA from 1 species